UACGUAGGGGGCUAGCGUUGUCCGGAAUCAUUGGGCGUAAAGAGCGUGUAGGCGGCCCUGUAAGUCCGCUGUGAAAGUCGGGGGCUCAACCCUCGAAUGCCGGUGGAUACUGUCGGGCUAGAGUGCGGAAGAGGCGAGUGGAAUUCCUGGUGUAGCGGUGAAAUGCGCAGAUAUCAGGAGGAACACCGGUGGCGAAGGCGGCGUCCUGGACCGAAACUGACGCUGAGGAGCGAAAGCCAGGGGAGCAAACGGG
rnacentral:rRNA from 1 species